GUUGAAUUGUUGAAGUAUGUACGUUCAUUAUCUUAGAACCUUCAGUACAACAAAAAACAAUAGCAUAGCAUACAUGUGCUGACAUCAUUUACCUACAGAAGUUUGUUGUAGUUAAUUUUCUUACAGAAGGUAAGUGAAAAACAUACCACACCAGCAUAAAAGAUCUUGGUUUCUUCUUCCAGGGUACAACAGAGACUCCUAAAACUUCAAAUCUUGUAGCUCAUUGUUGCUCAGUGUCCAGUUGA
rnacentral:misc_RNA from 1 species